rnacentral:misc_RNA from 1 species
UCUCUGCAUAUUAUACUUAUCUUUGUUUUAGUUUUUGGAUAUGUUCUGAAGCCUUUGUCAUUUUAUUAUUGUAUUUGUCAAUUUGUUGUUCGGCUUCCGGAUAUUUUUGCAUAUUUUUAAACAUCAAUUUUAUUGGUGAUUUCUUGAUCGAGGUAGCACUUGCAUGCUACCCAUUUCCUUCUUGUUGUUCAUAAUUUUCAUGUCUGGCAUCAACUUUGUGUGUGUCUCCAAUUAUUCUGCUUCAUACGUGAAAAUAGUCUUCACCUCGCCCUGUUUGCUUGUUUUAUUUGUUGGAGACAUUUCAUCGGUUCUUUGGAGCCAUCAACCUUAAAAUUCGGACAAUUAGUUCAUUUGUUAUCUCAAUUCCAACUUUUCAACGUGUUCGUGAACUCUUGUGUGUGUAUCUAUACACCUUCUUGUACAAUUUCUGUCAGACAUCUUCUCCAAAGUAAGAUACCUUCUUCGGUAUUCUAUAAUACUGUCUCUGGUAUUCUUCAUAUCUGUGGAUGGAGAAAAAGUAACUAGUGAGGGAGAAAAACUCAGAAAAGCAUUGUGGAUGUGUUCUUGGACUGAUAAACCAAACUGGUUCAAGAAAUCCUUGCUGACGAUGAUGACAAGGGCUACAGUCGAUUUGAAAAUCAGGCCAUUCACAUUGUAUUCUUUGGAUCUGACUUGCUUCACUCAGAUAGUGAAAGGCACAUACUCCUACUUCAACAUUUACAAAAGUUUGAAGAAAUGAUGAGUGGACAGUUACUAUACUCUUAAAUGAUUCAAUAAAAACCAAUAUAUUUGUGAAUGAUAACCAUUAUGACAACGAUACUUCCUCAAGUUUGAAAAUAAACAUAUAAAGAAAG